rnacentral:rRNA from 1 species
GUAGGCAGCAAGCGUUGUUCGGAAUUACUGGGCGUAAAGAGUGUGUAGGUGGUGAUCUAAGUCUGUCGUGAAAUCUCCCGGCUUAACUGGGAGGGUGCGGUGGAAACUGGGUCGCUAGAGUAUGGGAGAGGUAAGCGGAAUUCCUGGUGUAGCGGUGAAAUGCGUAGAUAUCAGGAGGAACACCUGUGGUGUAGACAGCUUACUGGACCAUUACUGACACUGAGACACGAAAGCGUGGGUAGCAAACAGGAUUAGAUACCCUGGUAGUCCACGCCCUAAACGAUGCAUACUUGGUGUGGGCCAUUCAUUUGGUCUGUGCCGGAGCUAACGCGUUAAGUAUGCCGCCUGGGGAGUACGGUCGCAAGGCUG